AAUUAGAGUAUUUAAAGCAGGCCUUUGCUUGGAUACAUUAGCAUGGAAUAAUAGAAUAGGAUGUGUGGUUCUACUUUGUUGGUUUCUAGAACUGCUGUAAUGAUUAAUAGAGAUAGUUGGGAGCAUCAAUAUUUGGCUGUCAGAGGUGAAAUUCUUGGAUUUGCUGAAGACUAACUACUGUAAAAGCAUUUGCCAAGAAUGUUUUCAUUAAUCAGUGAACAAAAGUUAGGGGAUCAAAGACAAUCAGAUACUAUUAUAGUCUUAACCAUAAACUAUACUAACUAGAGAUUGGACAGGCAACUUUGAAUAAUCUGUUCAGCAUCUUAUGAGAAAUCAAAGUUUUUGAGUUCUGGAGGGAGUAUGAUUGCAAGGCUGAAACUUAAAGAAAUUAACAGAAGGGCACUACCAGAUAUGAAGUCUGCAGCUUAAUUUGACUCAAUACAGAGAAACUCAUCAGGUCCAGACAAAAUAAGAAUUGACAGAUUGAGAGCUCUUUCUUGAUCUUUUGAAUGGUGGUACAUAGCUGUUCUUAGUUGAUGGAGUGAUUUAUCUGCUUAAUUAUGAUAAUGAAUGAGAUCUUAAUCUGCUAAAUAGCCCAACUCAUGUUUGUGAGCUGCUGGCUUCUUAGAGGGACUAUUGACUUAAGCUGAUGGAAGUUUGAGAUAAUAACAGAUCUGUAAUGCUCUUAGAUAUUCUGGGCUGCACAUGUGCUACACUGACAGGGCCAGCAAGUACAUCAUCUUGGUCAAGAGGUCUGGAUAAUCUUGUUAAAUCCUGUUGUGCUGGAGAUAGAGCAUUGCAAUUAUUGCUCUUCAACAAGAAAUGUCUAGUAGGCACAAGUCAUCAGCUUAUACUAAUUAUGUCCCUGCUCUUUGUACAUACCACCCAUCACUACUACCAAUUGAAUAGCUCAGUGAGGCCUUCAGACUGAUUCAGAGAGAUUGGCAACAACCACCCAGAGCCAGAAAGUUGGUCAAACUUGAUUAUUUAGAGAAAGUAAAAGUCAUAACAAGGUUUCUGUAGGUGAAUCUGUGGAAGAAUCAUUA
rnacentral:ncRNA from 1 species